CAUCUCUUUUUGAAAAUAAUUUAAGGUAUAAUCUGCUCAAUGAUUAAUUAAAUAGCUGCAGUAACCUGACUGUACUAAGGUAGCAAAAUCAAUAGUUUUUUAAUUGAAAGCUGGAAUGAAGGAUUGGAUGAAAUAAUGAUUGUCUCAAAUUUAAUAAAAUUAGAAUUUUUUUUUUAGUUAAAAAGCUAAAAUGAGUUUAAAAGACGAGAAGACCCUAUAGAUUUUAAUAAAUAAAUUAAUUAAUAAUAAUAAUAUAAUUUAUCAUUAAUUAAUUUAAAUUUAUUUAAUUGGGGAAAUUUUUAAAUUGAAUUAAUUUUAAAUUUUUUUUUACAUUUAUGUAUGGAUAGUUGAUCUUAAUUAUAGAUAGUAAGAAUAAAAUACCUUAGGGAUAACAGCGUAAUAUUUUUAGAGAGACCUUAUUAAUAAAAAUGAUUGCGACCUCGAUGUUGAAUUAAAAUAAAAUUAUAAUGAAGAAGUUAUAAAUUUUUGGUCUGUUCGACCAUUAAAAUUUUACGUGAUCUGAGUUCARACCGGA
rnacentral:rRNA from 1 species